rnacentral:rRNA from 1 species
UGGGGAAUUUUGGACAAUGGGCGAAAGCCUGAUCCAGCCAUGCCGCGUGCAGGAUGAAGGCCUUCGGGUUGUAAACUGCUUUUGUACGGAACGAAAAGCCUCUUUCUAAUAAAGAGGGGUCAUGACGGUACCGUAAGGAUAAGCACCGGCUAACUACGUGCCAGCAGCCGCGGUAAUACGUAGGGUGCAAGCGUUAAUCGGAAUUACUGGGCGUAAAGCGUGCGCAGGCGGUUUUGUAAGACAGAGGUGAAAUCCCCGGGCUCAACCUGGGAACUGCCUUUGUGACUGCAAGGCUGGAGUGCGGCAGAGGGGGAUGGAAUUCCGCGUGUAGCAGUGAAAUGCGUGAUAUGCGGAGGAACACCGAUGGCGAAGGCAAUCCCCUGGGCCUGCAACUGACGCUCAUGCACGAAAGCGUGGGGAGCAAACAGGAUUAGAUAACCCUGGUAGUCCACGCCCUAAACGAUGUCAACUGGUUGUUGGGUCUUCACUGACUCA